AUUCUAAUGGGCAGGCAAAGGCCGCAGGCUGCUAUCCCAAUAGGCCAGCGGGCGGAACGAGGAGAGGCUCCGGCAAUCAUAGCACCGCGGUCGAAAAAGCGUGCUCCCUUCAGAUAACACGCACCAUUUCUCAUAUCCAAGGCAGCUUACCACAAGAACCCCACCCCAUACAACUAGUUGGGGGGGCUGUUCGCCUUUUGAAUCAAACAAAGUAAGUUGUAGGUAGGGGCUUCAUAGCUACUUUCAUUCUAAAGGAAAGCGAAGAACCAAUCUUUAGUCAAUAGGAGCCCUACUUCCCUCGACCUCAUCACUUCAAUUGUUGCGCAAACCUCUUUCUUAGUCACCGGGCGGAGCGCACCUUUGUCACAGUAGGGCGAGCUGUUUGAUAGUGACUUCUUGCGUUUGGUAGGGCGACGAAAGGGCUACUUCCUUCAAUCUAGGAAACAGCCGGAAACUCGAGAAGGUCGCCUUUGGAAGCGUUCGCC